GAUGAACGCUAGCUACAGGCUUAACACAUGCAAGUCGAGGGGCAGCAUGGUCUUAGCUUGCUAAGGCCGAUGGCGACCGGCGCACGGGUGAGUAACACGUAUCCAACCUGCCGUCUACUCUUGGACAGCCUUCUGAAAGGAAGAUUAAUACAAGAUGGCAUCAUGAGUCCGCAUGUUCACAUGAUUAAAGGUAUUCCGGUAGACGAUGGGGAUGCGUUCCAUUAGAUAGUAGGCGGGGUAACGGCCCACCUAGUCUUCGAUGGAUAGGGGUUCUGAGAGGAAGAUCCCCCACAUUGGAACUGAGACACGGUCCAAACUCCUACGGGAGGCAGCAGUGAGGAAUAUUGGUCAAUGGGCGAGAGCCUGAACCAGCCAAGUAGCGUGAAGGAUGACUGCCCUAUGGGUUGUAAACUUCUUUUAUAAAGGAAUAAAGUCGGGUAUGGAUACCCGUUUGCAUGUACUUUAUGAAUAAGGAUCGGCUAACUCCGUGCCAG
rnacentral:rRNA from 1 species